ensembl:lncRNA
CAGCUGUAUAGGUUUAGCUCUGACACGAGGGGACACCUUUCAACUUCCUAGGCAUGAAUGUGUGCUCAAGAGAAGUAAUUGGAAUUUAUUUUGGACUAUAUGUUCUCUUUCGUUUCAUAUUCUGGGGGUUGUCAGUAUAGUUCCAGCUGAGCUCAGAGGUGAAUGAAUAUCAGUUUCUUCAUUGCCUCUUGCUGCAAAAGUCUUAAGUAGAAUGAGUUACCUCUGUACUAGUUGUACUGUCACCAGUGCAGGAAUUUGUGCCCCUUCUCUGACAGCUAGUUUCUCCUACUCUGAUUCCUGUCUGCUUCAGAGGAAUACCGUUAACCUGAGCUGUUUCUAAAGAGGAUCCCAGGAGGGCAGGGAAAAGCAAAUGAGCAACAGUUUCUGCUUCCGUCCUUUGUGCGGGUGUGUACGUAUGUGUUGCUGGGUUGCAUGACUCACCGUGCUGCCUGAUGAAGUAAAUGGGAAUGCGUGAGCUUCCAAAUGUUCUGGGACCUCCUCUAUUCCAUAGUUUUCAAAGAUAAUCGGCAGUGGCUCCAAGGUAGCUUUGUCUGGCCAGAUACUUCAGAGAGACCGUAUUAGAUUCGUUGAGCUCCAAAAACAAAGAAUUUUAAGAUUUCCUUUCUUGUUUUGAAUUCCAGAGACUAAGCCAGUACCUUUCAGUGAACUCAACAGAUUGAACAAGACAAGUGUAAGUGGUUUUCCAGAUCUACUUUUAUUUGCAUAGUUCUUCCCUGAACGCUUUCCAAACUUCACAUGUCUCAAAUCUAAAUUUGCUGAAUAAAUGUCAAGCAGCUAAAUCCGAGCAAUGCUGCUAAAGGACUUGACUCGCACCCUUCUGGUGACUGGUUACCAC